UACAGAGGUCCCAAGCGUUGUUCGGAUUCAUUGGGCGUAAAGGGUGCGUAGGCGGCGCGGUAAGUCGGGUGUGAAAUCUCGGGGCUUAACUCCGAAACUGCAUUUGAUACUGGCGUGCUUGAGGACUGGAGAGGAGACUGGAAUUCAUGGGUGUAGCAGUGAAAUGCGUAGAGAUCAGGAGGAACACCAAUGGCGAAGGCAGCUCGCUGGGGACGGUACUGACGCUGAGACGCGAAAGCUGGGGAGCAAACAGG
rnacentral:rRNA from 1 species